UCCUGGCUGUGGCAGGUAAUGGAUGGGUGUUUGGGAGGAGAAGGAGGCGUUUGGGUGUUCCUCUAAGUGCACCCUAUAGAUGGGCACGUCCUCUGCUUGGGCAGAGAUAUUAGUUAGCUCCAACUUACCCCCAGAUGCUGCUGAGAGGGGCAGGAGUCUUAGUGAAAUACUUCUGCACCCCCACCUUAUUCCCUCUCACAAGCCCAUGAGCUAGAGGGGUACAGUUCCCAGGGCAAGACCCUGUGCUCAUAGAGCAUGCAUCUCACCAAUAUGCCCAACACUCCAGGCCAUUGCAGUAAGAGGGCAUAAGGUUACAUGUGAAGGAGGCGUUCUUCCUCUGAGGGGCUUAGCGAGCCAGGUUACCAUGGAAGCCAUGAGUAAUUUCCUUCCUAAGAAGAAUACAGACUUCCAGGCAGCCUGCACCAUUCUGAUACCAUCUUAAGCAGAGGACUGGGUUGUAUGCCCUCUAGGGGUUCCACCUAAGAUUUCUCCCAACCUGUGGCUCUUCUGAUAGUUAUUUAUGACAGCAGCUACAUUAUAUGUUUAUAUGCUCCUAUUUUGGCUACAGCAUUUUGAAAGCCCUUUUGUGCUAAGGAAAGAAUACAGUUUUUAAACUGCAAAGGUAGUGAAGAAGAUCUUAAGCCACUGAAGUAUUGGAUGAGAAAGAGGAGGCCUUCUUAUAGAGAGGGAUGUCAAGGAGUGAUGAAGAGAAACCCCCAGAAGCUGGGAGGCAGGAAGGUCAACUUGCAAGCUGCAAACUUAGGAUUUUCUAACAGAGCUGGUGCCAUGAGCCACUUCCUCACUCCUCGGGUUCCUGGGCAGGACAAGAAAACCUUCUCCUCUUCAUGUCCCCCAGGAGAAUUAGAAGGCCUGGCAAAGUAUCUCUGGCUGCACAGAUGACCUCAUUUGGAAAUAACGUCGAACACUGGUGUCUGAGAUGCUUUGGGAAUGUAAGGGCUGAACCGAAUGAGUUUUCUGCAUCCUUCUCUUCUGACCUGGUCCAGGGAGAAAUUGAAUACCCAGUGAGUUGAUUUAUAUCCAGUGAAGAAAGACUGGCUGCUCCCAGUAUGCUCAGCGAUUUGUCCCACCUGCUGUGAGGCCAAAAGAUCUACAUUUCUUGUCAUUAAUAUUAGUACUUUCACUUUUUAAUCUUUACUUUUAAGAAAGGAAACUCUGGUGGCAUAGUGGUUAAGUGCUACAGCUGCUAACCAAAAGGCUGGCAGUUUGAAUCCACCAGGCACUGCUCGGGAACUCUAUGGGGCAAUUCUACCCUGUCCUAUAAGGUUGCUAUGAGUUGGAAUUGACGCGACAGCAACGAAUUUGGGUUUUUUUUUAUGGGAAAAGACGACAUGUAAUAAAACAUUAAAUAAUUACACAAAAAGACUACUAUACAAAGAAGCAAGGCUGCUGAGAGUGAACUGUUGCCUGACUGAGAGGACCACCAAAUAUCUCACUCCUCUGAACUGAUUUAGCAUAGAAGUGCAGUAAGGAACUGAUUCAUAGCAAAACUGAUAAUGGAAGGAAGGAACACUGGCAGGCCAAAGGUUCUGAUGUAUUUCUGGAAGACUGGGAAAAAAAAUGUUGGAAGUAUAUAUCCUUUAGCCAACGUGCAAAAGUCCAAUUUAGUGCACAAAAAGAGACUGGCUAGAGAGGCUACGUACAAUGGAGAACUAUGCAGCCAUUAAAAAUGAUGUUGCAAAAAAAUGUUUAAUAAAAAUAUUUAGAGAUACGCAAAGAAGUUCACAAUGUAUUAGAUUUAAAAGCAGGUUACAAAACAAUAUAUGCAACAUGUUCCUAUGUUACUUAAGAAAAUAUAUAUAUAUUUAAUUGGAAGACUAUACACCGAAAAGGAACCCUGAUGGCACAGUGUUUAAGUGCUCAGCUGCUAUCUAAAAGGCUGGUGGUUUGAAACCACCAGCCACUCCAUAGAAGGAAGAUGUGGCGGUCUGUUUCUGCAAUGAUUACAGCCUUGGAAACCCUAUGGGGGCAUCUCUGCUCCAUCCUAUAGGGUUGCUAUGAGUCGGAAUUGACUCAACGGGUUUGGUUUUUGGUAUACUCCAAAAUGGAAAUAAUAUAGUGAGCCUGUAUGCUACAAUAAUAAUAGAAAUGACUUUAAACUACACACUCACGAGAGAUUGAAACCUUAGAAUAUAUCCAUGCAUUUCUAAGAUUGUGGGUGUUAGAGAGAAAAUGGCAGUAGUAUGGAAUAUCUGCUGUUUUCAAUUUUUAGAAACAACCCAUGAAUAAAGAUUGGAAGACUAAAUCAUAUACUGACGGGAAGGAAUUUAAUUAUUACAAUAAUCACAGAAUUAAAAUCAGUAUCAAAGUAAUGGCGCAACCAAAUAUGACAUAAUGUCGAGGUUAAAUGAACUGCUUGGUGGUUCCUCAGGUUUUUAUUUUAUUAUUCUCUUUUCUUGUCUGUAUGUUUGAAAUAUUUCACAGUCAUAAAAUUAAAAUUUUUUAGCUGACCAAAGUCAGGAAUUGUGUGUUAGGUGCCAUAGAGAAUGAAACACUGCCUGGUCCUGUGCCAGCCUCACAAUCAGUGCUAUGUUUGAGCCCAUUGUUGCAGCCACUGUGUCAGUCCAUCUUGUUGAGGGUCUUCCUCUUUUUCCCUGACCCUCUGCUUUACCAAGCAUGAUGUCCUUCUCCAGGGACUGCUCCCUUUUGAUAACAUGUCCAAAAUACAUAAGAUGAAGUCUCGCCAUCCUCACUUCCAAGGAACAUUCUGGCUGUACUUCUUCCAAGACAGACUUGUUUGUUCCUCUGGCAGUCCAUGGUGUGCUCGGUAUUCUUCAUCAACACCAUAAUCCAAAGGCAUCAAGUUCUUCUUUGGUCUUCCUUAUUAGUUGUUGCAUGUGUUUGAGGCAAUUGAAAACACCAUGGCUUCGGUCAGGCACACCUUACUUCUCAAAGUGACAUCUUCACUUUUUAAUAUUUUAAAGAGAUAUUUUCCCUCCAAUUUGCCCAAUGCAAUGCAUCAUUUGAUCUCUUGACUGCUGUUCCCAUGGGCAUUGAUUGUGGAUUCAAUAAAAUGAAAUCCUUGACAACUUUGACAUUUUCCCUCUUUACCAUGAUAUUGCUUAUUGGUCCAGUUGUGAGAACUUUUGUUUUCUUUAUGUCAAGGUAUAAUCCAUACUGAAGGCUGUAGUCUUUGAUCUUCAUCGGUAAGUGGUUCAAGUCCUUUUUACUUUCAGAAAGCAAGGUUGUGUCAUCUGCAUAUCACAGGUUAUUACUGAGUCUCCCAAUCCUGAUGCUGCAUACUUCUUCAUAUAGCUCAGCUUCUCAUAUUAUUUGCUCAGCUUCUCAUAUUAUUUGCUCAGCAUACAGAUUGAGUAAGUAUGGUAAAAAGAUACAGUUUUUCAUUUUAAACCAUGAGGUAUCUCCUUGCCGUGUUUGAAAAACUGCCUCUUGGUCUAUGUACAGGUUCCUCAUGAGCACAACUAAGUGUUCUGAAAUUCUCAUUCUUUGCAAUGUUAUCCAUGAUUUGUUAUGAUCCACAGUCAAAUGCCUUUGCAUAGUCAAUAAAACAUAGGUAAACAUCUUUGUGGUAUUCUCUGCUUUCAGCCAAGAUCUAUCUGACAUCAACAAUGAUAUCCUUUGUUCCACAUCCUCUUCUGAAUCUGGCUUAAAUUUCUGGCAGUACCCUGUUGAUACACUGCUGUAAACAUUUCUGAAUGUUUAAUUAUUUUCAACAAAAUUUUACUUGCAUGUGAUAUUAAUAAUAUUAUUCAAUAACUUCCACAUUCUGUUGGAUUACCUUUCUUCGGAAUGAGCACAAACAUGGAUGUCUUCCAGUCAGUUGGCCAGGAAGCUGUCUUCCAAAUUUUUGGCAUAGAUGAGUGAGUGCUUCCAGCGUUGCAUUUUUUUGUUGAAACAUCUCCACUGGUAUUCUGUCAAUUCCUGGAGCCUUGUUUUUUGCCAAUGGCUUCAGUGCAGCUUGGAUUUCUUCCUUCCGUACCAUCUGUUUUUGAUCAAGCUGAAAGAAUUGAAGAAAAAAUUCAAGCUUUGAGUUGCAAUAUGGAAGGAGUCCAUGGGCAAAAUAUUAAAUGAUGCAGGAAGCAUGAAAAGAAGGUGGAAGCCAGGAAUAGAGAUAGGAAAUAUGGAGAUGUGUGUGAUAAGUCAAGUACGCCAGAAAACAGACUCUGAGACUCUAAGACUUGGGUGCAGCAGGCUUAUUGGGGAGUGUUCUCAGAAACACCACCAGUGAGGCAUGUAGGGGAAGGAGUGGAGAAGUUGGGCUAUGGUACAGUCACAACAACGCCCAUCCAGUGUCACAGGGAGGUUAGGAGGAGCUGGAGGGCCCUUCAGAAUUGCUCCAUUGAGGCAGAAGGGCUAGCUGGGCCUUUAAAAGGAGCAGUCAUUGCAUGCCGGCUACCCCCUGGGAAUGGCAUAAUCUUGGGUGAGAUAGUUUCCUUCAGCCAAGAGCAAUUAUUGGAGAAGGGCUCAGCUGAGAGGCAGGAUGAGGACCUCUGUCCUGAAAGGGAUUUAGGCAGUACACCACAGCAUCCACUAGAGAUGAAAGGAAGUAUACCUCUGUUUAGUUUCCUUAACUUACACAGUAUGAGCAAGAGAUACUGUAAAAGUGACAAUUCAAGAAAUAGAGAUUUACAAUUGGUCUCAACCUAUCUGGAGCAAAGGAGAAUGAAGGACAUCAAAGACACAAGGUAGAUAUAAGCCCAAGAGACAGAAAGGGCCACAUAACCCAGAGACUACAUCAGCCUGAGACCUGAAGGACUAAAUGGCACCCUGUUAUCCCCCCGAUGACUACCCUGAAAGGGAACACAACAGAAUCCCUGAUGGAGUGGGAGACCAGUGGGAUGCAGACCUCAACUUCUCAUAAAAAGACCAGACUUAAUGGUCUGAAUGAGACUGGAGAGACCCCAGAGGUCACGGCCCCUGGAUCCUCCAUUAGCUCAAGACUGGAUCCAUUGCUGAAGCCAACUCUUCAGACAGGAAUUGGACUGGACUAUAAGACAGAAAAUGAUACUGAUGAGGAGUGAGCUUCUUGGCUCAAGUAGACACUACGUUGGCAGCUCCUGUCUGGAGGUGAGAUGAGAAGGCACAGGGGGACAGGAGCUGAAUGAAUGGACAUGGGGAAUACAGGGCAGAGAGGAGGAUUGUGCUUUCCCAUUCAGGGGAGAGCAGCUAGGGUUACAUAGCAAGGUGUGUAUAAGUUUUUGUAUGAGAGACUGACUUCAUUUGUAAUCUUUCACCUAAAGCACAAUAAAAAAAAAAAAAAGAAAGAAAGAAAUAGAGAUUUAAAUGUAUUGUUCGAAGUUAUAAAGAUUACCAGUAGACUAAAAAUAAAAAUGUUAAUAAAAAUUGGGAGGAAGAAAAUGGAGAGAAGUAUAUCGAGAUAAAUUUCUCAAUAUUCAAAGUAGAGAGCAAGUCUUUAAUGUUCACAGUAGAUAAAUUGAAAGAGAGGUAUAAAUAUAUUUUAGAAUUAUGGCUAUAAUCACCAGAAGAACAAAAUCUGGAAGUGAUUAACAAUUUUAUCUCUUAGGAGAGAGAGUGGGUUUAGUGGUAGGCUAGAGAUGAAGGAGGCUUUUACUUUUUUCUUUACCAUUUUUGUUAAUUACUUGAAAUUUUAAAUAGUAGCAACGACAAAAAAACUUCACUUUAGGAAGUACGUGGAAAAAAUUUUUUUUACCACCUUUCAACGGAUAAAGAGGUCCUGUCUGGCCUCUUUCACCUUAUUCCUGGUCUGAAAGCACCAUCAGGAAAGCAUGAAAUGAAGGUAUUUACAGUUUUGAGUGAAUAACCUAAGGCCACUGUCUUAGUUUCCUCGUGCUGCUAAUAGCAGAAACACAAGUGGGUGGCUUUAAAGAACAGAAAUUCAUUUUCUCACAGUUG